rnacentral:rRNA from 1 species
UACGUAGGGGGCAAGCGUUGUCCGGAAUCAUUGGGCGUAAAGAGCGUGUAGGCGGCUAGGUAGGUCCGUUGUGAAAGUCGGGGGCUCAACCCUCGGAUGCCGGUGGAUACUGUCGGGCUUGAGUACGGAAGAGGCGAGUGGAAUUCCUGGUGUAGCGGUGAAAUGCGCAGAUAUCAGGAGGAACACCAAUUGCGAAGGCAGCUCGCUGGGACGUUACUGACGCUGAGACGCGAAAGCGUGGGGAGCAAACAGG